UGCCAUCCCCACUCCUGUCUCUUUGCUCCCUCUGUUCUUCUUCUCUCUUCUCCCUCUGUUCCUCAUCCUUCUUUUCUCUCUCUUGGCUCGCUUCUACCCCGAGCAACACAACCACCACGUUCUCCGGCGAUUUCGAACACCAAAUCACCACCAUCCUCGUCCCAACCUCACACUAAACAUGGAACUAGAACCCAGAGUCUCAGAACUUAGACUCGAACCUCAAAUCAAAGAACCAGAGCUCCGUCUCAAAUCCGAGAGAGUUUCGGCGAGUUCAUUGCUUUCCCUACCGAAGUAAGGUCCGAAGUCGCUCUUCACUUAUUUCUCUCAUAUUUAAGGCUCUUCCCUCAUUUCUUCCAAGCAAAUCCCAGCCAUGCCAUCAGAAUUAGUAGAGCCACAACCCAAAAUCACUUUCAUCGUUGCAGAUCCGUUGCAUCCUCCUGUAUUUUUUUUUUGUAACGCUGCAACCCAAAACUCAUAAAUUGUAAAUCUGACGCAACCAUGGAGUCUUAGCAAUUCCUUGAGCUUAGUACCACCUCAGUGCUGCAAUCGACACCCAAAAGGACUUUCUCUCCUUCAUCUUCACUGCAAAUCCCAACGCAAAUCCGUCUAUACAAGAAGUGUCUCAUAGAUCCUUACGCCCUCGAAGGUAAAAUUCAUCCCUGCAAUUAUUUGAGCCUGUACUUGGCUGAUCUGUAAAUGUGCUGCUUGUGCAUGCCGAAAAUAUGAAUUAGGCUAUGUCUCGCAUAAAUCUGUGAAAGUAGUCCUUUCUGAUUUCAGCGUGUUCAUGCAUCAGUGGUUUUAGUCUACUGUCUGCAAGCUCAUGAAUGUGUUCUGUAUAUUGCAUGUCUCCAUUGAUGAACACAUGAGGUCAAUUUGUGUGUAAUUUGAGAUGGAAUGUGGAAGUGGUUUGAAUUUAUGGUGUAUUUAUUCUGGUGUCUGACGACUAUACUUAAAUCACAUGACUCUAGAUUUAACAUUCUACCUACUUAUAUCAUGAAUACAAUUUUUAAGAAUGAGUUUUCAAAAUUGCAGGUGAUAUUGUGAACUUAUUCAAAUCAUUUUAGAGAAAAUACAUCUACUUUGAUAUUCAUGUAUUUUCCUUUCAUUUUCGUUGUUCUUGUAAGUUGUGUGGUUUCUUUAUCUUUGAGGUUUUUAUUCAUAACCUUAGCAGGAAGAGGCCCAUAUUCUAUAUAGAACGGCUGAUUAAUUUAUUUGUGGAACAAGAUGGGAUGAAGUAAAAGCUUUCUGGGAAAAAUUCAAGUGUUCAGAAAUGCUUGUUUUCAUUUUCAUAUGAAUUGAUUGUUUGUAGAACUAAAUUGUAAUAGCAUUUUUGUAAUAUUUGAAUUUUUAUUUUAAUAUUUUACCUAUUGGGCACAAAAACAAAACUGUGUUAACAUGGCUUGGAAAAAGUCAGUGUUGUCAAACUGUCAGAGCUGAGAAACAAAAGAACCUCUAUUUGUGCUGAGCUUUUUGGGCAUCAAAGACCAUAUUGUGCCCAAUGGUCAAGGGUGACGACCAUAGAGGGCACAUACACAAAGAUAAUAGCUGCAUUGUUACUAUUGGUCUAUGGGCACAAUUGUUGGUGCUUUUUGGCCUCAAAGGGCACAGAUAAUUUAUUGUGUACAAUGCUCAUUUUUGUUGUAGUGUAUAUAAUUGGAAACCAUUCAUUUUCUCAGUCUUCAUUUGAAUAUCAUCCCUAUUAAAACA